GACGAACGCUGGCGGCGUGCUUAACACAUGCAAGUCGAACGGAAAGGCCCUGCUUUUGUGGGGUGCUCGAGUGGCGAACGGGUGAGUAACACGUGAGUAACCUGCCCUUGACUUUGGGAUAACUUCAGGAAACUGGGGCUAAUACCGGAUAGGAGCUCCUGCUGCAUGGUGGGGGUUGGAAAGUUUCGGCGGUUGGGGAUGGACUCGCGGCUUAUCAGCUUGUUGGUGGGGUAGUGGCUUACCAAGGCUUUGACGGGUAGCCGGCCUGAGAGGGUGACCGGCCACAUUGGGACUGAGAUACGGCCCAGACUCCUACGGGAGGCAGCAGUGGGGAAUAUUGCACAAUGGGCGGAAGCCUGAUGCAGCAACGCCGCGUGCGGGAUGACGGCCUUCGGGUUGUAAACCGCUUUCGCCUGUGACGAAGCGUGAGUGACGGUAAUGGGUAAAGAAGCACAGGCUAACUACGU
rnacentral:rRNA from 1 species